CACUUAUGGUAUACAGAAGUUCCUGAGCUAGGGGUUGAGUCGUGAGACCAACAGCAUAGUCUCUGCAACUCUGGAUCCAAGUCACAUCUGUGACCUAUACUGAAGCUUGCAGCAGCUCUGGAUCCUUAACCCACUGAGUGAGGCCAGGGAUUGAAACUGUAUCCUCAUGCAGAUUACCUCAUGUCCUUAACCCCCUGAUCCUUGAUGGAGCUCCUAUAUAUAUUUUUUUGUUUGUUUGUUUCAUCAAUUCCAAUUUGGGCCCAAAUCUCUUUGAAUGCAUAAGAACUUGAACUCUGAAAGCUUUGAUAAUUGAUAGAGAAUCUGUUCAUUCUUCCAAGAGAGGAUUCCAGACUACUCUUCUCUUUUUUGCAGACAAAGAACAUCAGAGGCAGAGAACUGAGGCCUUGUCUGGAGUUGCAGAAAUGUACUAACCACCUUUCUCUAGAUCUGCAUAGUGAUAAUAAAAACCCAGAUAUGUUUCCAGAUAAAGCGUUCUUUCAUUUGUUUAAUCUUCAACAAAACACCAUGAAGUGGGUACUAUUGUUAACCCCAUUUUAUAGAUGGGGAAACUGAGACAAAUACUAAGUUCCCUAAAAUUAUGUAGCUACUAACUUGGUGCUCCAAUAUUAAAAUUGAGAGAAUCAGGCCCCAGAACCCAUGUUUUUAGCCACUAUGUUGUGCUACCAUGAUUUUACUCAUUACCAUUUAGGUUUGGGGUGUUGGAACCAAGAAACCAAUAUAAAAUCUAUCUGUGUUAAAAUGAGUAAGAUUGCCCAUGGUCAUUUCUGGCAGAAUAUGUUUGCUUGUUUGCCUCUGAGUACUCUAAACAUAUAAACAGAAUAAAGACAUUUUACACAGAAAUACUGUGGUAGUUUCUCAUGUUGACACAUGAAAUUUGAUAGUCUCAAACUAUCACUUAAGGCUCUCCCCAGCCAUCAAAUAAAUAUGAUAUGUAUCACAUAAAUUUACUUUCUGAACUUUAUUGAGUCAGCAACAAGGAUAUAGAUGUUUCCAAGAGAUUUACAAGUUUAUAGAAAAAAGGACAUUUUUGGUCAAAGAUGCUCUUAAUCAAAAAUUAUAUUUAACCAGAUUUCUCUUCCUUCUCUCCUGGCCAUCCUCUCAGCCCAUAUAACACAAAUGGAGAAUGCCUGCGGGAUUAAUAAUUUUAAGCCAGUCAAAACUCAAUUUGCACCUCAUGUUCAUCACUUUGUAGCUACAGGCAAUUUGUUCAUUCUCUCUGAGUCUCAAUUUUGUCACUAAAAAGAUUCAAUUUUUUGUACUUUACUGGCUAUUUUGAGGAUUAAGUGGACUGACUCAAGUAAAGUUAGUAUCUCCCAUAAAAUCUGAAUAUAGGAUUGAACUUGCAUAAAGGUUAAUAUACGCUAAUUCCUUCUUCAUAUCAUUUGGAUGAUACAGAUAUGACUGCAGUUUGAGAUAAACAUGUAUGUUUUUAUGUUACCAAUGAUAUUCAUUUAUACUUUCAUCAAUUCAGUCACAGUUAUAUUUUUUACUUGCUAAUAUUAAUAGGACUUCAUUUAAAUAGUUUUUUUGUCAAAAUUUCUCUCUAUAAACAAGGAUGGCCACAAUCAUAAUAAAUAAAUCUUAACCAAAUUCUUAUUUUAGAAAGGAGUUUUCUAAAGUAUAUCCUCAAUUAUAAACAAUUUUUCCUUUCAAAGUAGCAUGAGUCAUAUCUACAUUUAUGGUAAUGUGUGUUUCUAGGGGUAAUGCUUAUUCUGAGGGUAAAGCAUAGUAUGAAAGAUUUUUUUUUUAAGAUACAUUUGUUAUCGCUGUAAACAGAAAAAUUAAGAAAGGAAAAAAAAUGCCAACAGUAUAAAUGGAGAUUUAGAUUUCAGUUCCUAUUUCUAUGCUGCACUGAAUAGUUAAUGCUUUAGCACACACACUGACUGUAGAUGAUUUAUCUUUACUUAACAAAAAUCUGCCCAGUUUAAACAAAAGUGUGAAUUAUUAGUAGGGGUAUUAGUAGAAGUAGUUUUAAUUCUAAAAUAAAAUUUACUUUGUGAAUUGUAUGGGAGGACAAAAUCAGAUCUGUCCUGUUUUAUGUGGACAGAUACACAGACUGGGCAUAAACCUUAUAAACUAAGGUUUUCAAGCUUAAGCACACUAACAGGCUUGCUUCUUCCUCCAUAGGACAAGCCUCUCAUAAAGUUAAGUGUUUGAUGUCUUAGUAUAUAUUUGCACAUUCACAAAGCAAAUAGAUUCAACCUAAUUAAACUAUUUUUUGAAGUUUAAAUUCCUAGAGGACUUUCUAAAUCUCAAAGAGGUUGCUACCAAAAAUGGAAAGCAUAUUCAUUUUGCCUGUAUACCUUUUAGAGAUUCAUGAAGAGAAAAAGAUAAAAUUUUAAUGUAAAACUAAAAAACACUUAACAGAAUAUUUACUUAGUAUAUUAUACAUGUUUAUAUUUGUAUGGAUGUAUAUAUUUAGUGUGUUUAGAGGUAGAUGCUAAACUAAAUGGUUGUGACAUAGAAUCAUAGAUUGUUAAGGCUCAAGAGAGUUUAAGAGAUGACUUGGUUCAAUCACAGGGAUCUUUCUAAAAUAUUCACACCUUCCAUGGUCCUGAAAAAAUAUAUUUAUAUUUAAUAUGUAUAUGUAAAUCUUUGAAUCUGUAGCCAGUCUCUAAAUGCCAUUUUAAUUCAUUUAUUCAUUAACUUGUUAACGUAAACAAUAUCUAUAAAAUGCUUGUCAUAUAUUAAGCAUUUUUCUGGACCCUACAUUACUGAGCAAAACACAAUAAUAAUUUCUGUACUUGAAGAAUUCAUAUUCUGUAGAUGGUGGAACUCCUUAAACAAUAAUGGUCAAAUAUGCACAUUAUAUUGAGUGUUGGAAAGUUAUAAGGAAAAGAAUAAGUAGGACAGAGAGUGGAAGAUUAAAAGUGCGGAUGUCAAUUUAUGUAACGUAAAAUUAUUUUAGAUAUUCAUAUAUGCAUAAAGAGACUGUAACUAUACAUGAUGAUAAAUUGCUACAGGUGGGAAAAAAAACUCUGAAACAUUUUUCCAUAAGAAGAAUCGCCCUCUAUUGAUUACUUAUAGAAAUCAUCUUAAUUGGUUUUCAAGGAGAGUUUGACCUCUCCUGGCUUGGAGGCUUAAGAGCCCCAAAUUUAAUUAAUAUGGAACCACAAGCUGGUGACUUCCCAUUAUGCUUGUUAGGAGUUGUGUCAUGGCAUCAGAAGAACAAGUAGAAAUAACCUCUGUCCCUAACCAUAAAGUCUCCUGAAAUUGACCCUGAGACUUGAGUGCAAUGUACAGUUCUCUAAUAUUUCAAACACCAGGCAAGUUACUUCUUUAUUUGCUUUUCUCACUGCCCGUAGGACUCUUACACUAGGUAUCUAUCAAAACCAAAGUUUUAUAACUGAAGUUACAUCCCAAAUAUCACCUUCUCAAAGGGAAAUUUCAACCACUGUAUUUAAAACAAUCUUCCCGCCAAGGUACUUUGGCUCAUAUUAUCUCCUUUACUUCCCUUUUUAGUGCUGAAUCUGUCUCAUUUGCAGCUAUAACCCCGGGUGCAGCAGAGGGCCUGGCAGAAACAUAUGGAAGUUCCCAGGCUAGGAGUCCAAUUGAAACUGCGGAUGCAGGCCUACACUGUGGCCACAGCAACACUGGAUCAGAGCUACAUCUGUGACCUACACCACAGUUUGCAGCAAGGCUAGGUCCUUAACCCUCUGAGCAAGGCCGGGGAUCUAACCCACAUCUUCACUAUGUCAGGUUCUUAACCCACUGAGCCACAGUGGGAACUCCUAU
rnacentral:lncRNA from 1 species